rnacentral:misc_RNA from 1 species
CAAAUAUGCACCGGUUUUUUCUUUUUCAACAAGCAAAUAUUUGUUGAUUUCAGAGACAGAGUCUUUGAUUGGUCCCUUGUUUCUGGCUUAUAAGCAAGAGGUCUAGGCCCUAGCUUGGAGCACCAAUAUAAUGGGAAAUAGAACUUCUACUUUUUCUCUUGUUCUUUUGAGUAUCGGUAUUGUUUUUAUUAGUUAAAAUAUAGAGAGAUUAGGGUCUUGAAUAAGUAUAAACAAGGCUGAUUUUAUAUUCUAGCGUAUGUCAUACGGUACAGCCCAAGCUAUGUGACGAGGGCAAGUGAAAAGGAGAGUAGAGAGGCAGUGCAUGGGAUGAAUGAGAGAGAAUGAAGGGGAAAAACAUCUUUGAACAAUGACAUUUGGCCUUAAAAUUUCUUAGAACUUGCCACCAUAUCCACUAGCCGCAAUAGUGUUUUUGACCUAAUCUUACAUGGCUCAUACAAAUUAAGGCACACAUGUCCCUGAAAGUUUCCGUCGUCCCUGAUCUUUUAAUUGAUUGCGAAAUAUCCAAGUCUUCCAAUAUUAAUUUUACGGGUUUUGCUACAGUUUUCCUCAGCUUCUCUAUCACUCUAUUAUGCCUUUACCAUUUUGACCUUUAGAUUUGCACAUAUCCUGAUCAUUCCAAGUUAGUCAAUAAUCCAUAAUCCUUGUAGUGCUUUUUCAAAAAGUUCAUUACGACACUAUCAACUCUUCCUUCUAUAUAAUUCAUUGUAAAUGGUAAAGGCUUCCAUGCAUGGUUCAAUGCUUUGAUGUUAUUAAUUAAUUGAAAAGCAUGGAAACGCAUACUCUCAGUGAUGAAAUCAACCCAUCAACAUAUGGUGAAAGAAUCACAGUUCUAAGCAUUGAUGGGGGAGGGAUUAGAGGCAUUAUUCCAGGAACAAUAUUGAGUUUCCUGGAAUCCAAACUACAGGAAUUGGAUGGAGAACAUGCUCGAAUCGCAGAUUACUUCGAUGUUAUUGCAGGAACUAGCACAGGAGGUCUUAUAGCAGCCAUGUUGACUGCUCCUGAUGACAAGAAACGUCCUCUAUACAUGGCGAAAGAUAUCGUUCCAUUCUAUCUAAAGCAUUGCCCUAAAAUAUUUCCUCAGUUCCUAGUAAGCAUCCAUGCAUAUAUAUCGAAUUCAAUCAAUAAAAUCUUAAUUUCUUGUCUUGAUCUCCAAGUUUUUAACUUUCUGUUUUCUACAAUUAUGAAUUUUUAGUGGACCUAUCAUGAAAUUGAAUGCUUUAAGGGGACCAAAAUACGAUGGUAAGUACUUCCGAAAGCUAGUUCGCAAGAUACUUGGUGCUCGAAGACUUGCAGAAACUGUAACCCGUGUGGUUAUUCCUACAUUUGAUAUCCAAUUGCUGCAACCUGCUGUCUUCUCAACCUUUGAGGUUUGUAGCUUAUUAGAUUAAUUAAUUAAUUAACGUUGUAAUAAUGUGUGCAUGAUUAUAUGUGUUUAUUAUGAGUUCUUGUUUGAUUCCAUUCUAUAUAUACAUCUGUGUAGGCAGAGAUUGAUGCCUCCAAGGAUGCUUUGCUAUCUGAUGUUUGUAUCAGUACUUCCUCAGCUCCUAUUUAUUUUCCAGCUUAUCACUUUAAAGCUAAAGAUUCAGAAGGAAAUGACAGGGAAUUUCACCUUGUUGAUGGGGGAAUAGCAGCAAAUAACCCAGUAAGAGAUUAAUAAAUCUUUAAUCCAGUGACCUUGAGCAUGAUUAUUGGAAAUUUUGUAUUUUUGUUUCUCAUUGGUUAUCACUUUAUUAGUUGACAAUGACCAUUAUAAUAUUUUCUCUAUAAAAGUUCUUAUAUUGAACUGUAUAAACCUCCAGUGGAUAGCAUUUAACACCGUCUUCCCUAAAUCGAACAAGACUACAAGAAAAAACUCAAGGAUUAGGACUAUUUAAAAUUGCACAAGAAAUAAUUCAAAGAUAUUAUUAAUUAUUGUUUGAAUUAAUCUUGAAAGGCAUUGCUGGCAAUGAAACCAACUGGAACAGUCUUCCUGGGCGAUCCUGAUUCUUUACCAGCACCAGCCCUACAUUAUGAAAAGUAUCUGGUGAUUUCCCUAGGCACUGGAACUUCAAAGGUGGCGAAGAAAUACAGUGCAAAAAUGGCAGCAAAAUGGGGAAUCCUUGGCUGGCUUUAUAGACAAGGCAAUUCUCCUUUAAUUGAUGCCUUUACCUAUGCCAGUGGAGAUAUGGUCGAUCUUCACAUGUCCUUAAUCUUCAAAUCCAUCGGAUGUGAGCAUAACUACCAUCGCAUCCAGGAUGACACAUUGAGCGGGGACACAUCUUCAACAGACAAGGCAACCCAGAAGAAUUUGGAGGAGCUUGUGAAGAUUGGUGAAAGGCUUUUGAAGAAACCUGUUUCAAGGGUUAACCAAGACACUGGCAUUUUUGAAGCAGUUGAAAAUGAAGGAACUAAUGAAGAAGCUCUAGUCAGGUUUGCAAAAUUGCUGUCAGAAGAAAGGAAACUCCGUUGGCAGCGAUUGCAACGUAGCCAGGACUCCAAUUAACGUGCAAGCAUGGAUCAUCAAGUCAACUCGUUGCCAAACUGACUAUUAUUUUAUUGUUUUCUAUUUGAAUGGUUAGAAUAAAUUGAACGUCCGAACUUUGUACCUUGUGGGUAUUAUCCCCAUUGAAUAAAAGUUACAAAACAAAAACAAUAAUUUGAAGUAAUAUACUGCUUGUUAAUUGGCCA